rnacentral:rRNA from 1 species
AUUGAACGCUGGCGGUAGGCCUAACACAUGCAAGUCGAGUGGAGCGGCGGACGGGUGCGUAUUGCCUAGGAAUCUGCCUGGUAGUGGGGGAUAACGCCCGGAAACGGGCGCUAAUACCGCACACUAUCAGAUGGGCCUAGGUUGAAUUGGCUGGCUGGUGUGGUAAAGGCUUACCAAGGCGACGUUCCGUAACUAGUCUGAGAGGAUGAUCAGUCACACUGGACAUCAAACACGGUCGAGACUAAUACGGGAGGCAGCAGUGGAGAGUAUUGGGCAAAGGGCGAAAGCCAGGUCCAGCCAUGCGGCGGGUGUGGAGAAGGUCGUCGGAUUGUAAACCACGUUCAGUUUGAGGGCGUUACCGACAGAAUAAGCACAGGCCAACUACGUGCCAGCAGCCGCGGUAAUAC